ACUGGGCGCAGUGGCACGUGCCUAUAGUCCCAGCUACUUGAGAGGCUGAGGUGGGAGGAUCACUUGAGCCCAGGAAUUCUGGGCUGUAGUGCGCUAUGCCGAUCGGGCAUCCACACUAAAUUCAGCAUCAGUAUGGUGACCUCCUGGGAGCAGGGGACCACCAGGUUGCCUAUGGAGGGGUGAACCAGCUCAGGUUGGAAACAGAGCAGGUCACAGCUCUUGUGCUGAUCAAUAGUGGGCUUGUGCCUGUGAAUAGCCACUACACUCCAGCCUGAGUAACAUAGUGAGAACCCAUCUCUA
ensembl:misc_RNA Metazoa_SRP Metazoan signal recognition particle RNA